rnacentral:rRNA from 1 species
UACGUAGGGUCCGAGCGUUGUCCGGAAUUACUGGGCGUAAAGAGCUUGUAGGCGGUUUGUCGCGUCGUCUGUGAAAACUCACAGCUCAACUGUGAGCUUGCAGGCGAUACGGGGCAGACUUGAGUACUUCAGGGGAGACUGGAAUUCCAGGUGUAGCGGUGAAAUGCGUAGAUAUCUGGAGGAACACCGGUGGCGAAGGCGGCAUUCUGGACCGAUACUGACGCUGAGGAGCGAAAGCGUGGGGAGCGAACAGG